rnacentral:lncRNA from 1 species
GAUGAUUGUUAUUAUAUUCCUAAAUUUAUUUCGAACAUAAUUUCAGCUUCUAUGUUAGACAAACGUGGUAUUCGCAUUAAUAUAGGCAAUGGUAUUUGCUCUAUGUAUUAUAGUGAUAAUUUAUAUGUGAAUGGCUAUCUCCAACAUGAUGUUUAUGUCUUACCUAGUGUGAAUGCUAAUUCGAUUAUGCAUGUUUCAAGUCUUN